rnacentral:rRNA from 1 species
GAUGAACGCUGGCGGCGUGCUUAACACAUGCAAGUCGAACGAAGCACUUUAUUUGAUUUCCUUCGGGACUGAUUAUUUUGUGACUGAGUGGCGGACGGGUGAGUAACGCGUGGGUAACCUGCCUUGUACAGGGGGAUAACAGUUGGAAACGGCUGCUAAUACCGCAUAAGCGCACGGCAUCGUAUGAUGCAGUGUGAAAAACUCCGGUGGUAUAAGAUGGACCCGCGUUGGAUUAGCUAGUUGGUGAGGUAACGGCCCACCAAGGCGACGAUCCAUAGCCGACCUGAGAGGGUGACCGGCCACAUUGGGACUGAGACACGGCCCAAACUCCUACGGGAGGCAGCAGUGGGGAAUAUUGCACAAUGGGCGAAAGCCUGAUGCAGCGACGCCGCGUGAGCGAAGAAGUAUUUCGGUAUGUAAAGCUCUAUCAGCAGGGAAGAUAAUGACGGUACCUGACUAAGAAGCACCGGCUAAAUACGUG